rnacentral:rRNA from 1 species
UACGGGGGGGGCAAGCGUUGUUCGGAAUUACUGGGCGUAAAGGGCUCGUAGGCGGCCAACUAAGUCGGAUGUGAAAUCCCCAGGCUUAACCUGGGAACUGCAUCCGAUACUGGAUGGCUUGAAUCCGGGAGAGGGAUGCAGAAUUCCAGGUGUAGCGGUGAAAUGCGUAGAUAUCUGGAGGAAUACCGGUGGCGAAGGCGGCAUCCUGGACCGGCAUUGACGCUGAGUGAGCGAAAGCCAGG